CCAGGGUCUGAGAGAAAUCUAGCCGUACUUUAGGAGUUAAGCAUUUCUGGGGCUGUUCCCUCAGACUGAAGGAAAUUGAGACAGAUCCAAGAAGAGCAGAUGGGGCAUUGGUGUGGACGAAUAAAGACGGCAACAGCUGAAUUCAAUAUGUCUUCUGUCUUCAGUACCACCUACCUAGGUGGUCAGACCUCAGCAGCUUCCUGGUGCCUGGCCCCUUUCCCCCCACCCCCACACCUUAAUUGCUUUUCUUUCUUUUUUUUUUUUUUUUUUUUUUUUUUUUUGGAGCUGGGGACCGAACCCAGGGCCUUGCGCUUGCUAGGCAAGCGCUCUACCACUGAGCUAAAUCCCCAACCUCUUACUUGCUUUUCUAUGGCUGUGAAAAGACACCAUGACCAAGGCAACUUAUAGAAGAAAGAGUUUAUUGGUGCUUAUAAGUUCAGAGGGCUUGAGUCCCUGACCAUCGCGAUGGGGAGCAUGUCUGAGGCAGGCAGGCACUGCACUGGAGCAGUAACUGAGACUUCACAUCUCACCCACAAGUGGGAGGCAGAACACUAGCUAGAAAUGGCCUGGGCUUCUGAAACCUCAGAACUCACUGGUAGUUACACAUCUCCUCCAACAAGGCCACACCUCCUAAUCCUUCCCAAACAGUUCCACGGACUGGGGACCACGCAUUCAAAUACCUGAGCCACUGGGGGUGGGGGGUGCAUCAGCAUUUGAACCACCACACACUCUCCUUGGCAGAUGGGAGCUGGGGGUAGAGAGGACCUCCUCCGAGGGCUGCCUGAAACUCAUACACCGUUCUUUUCAGAACUUUCAGACCAGGUAAAUGGGGGAUUGGGUUGUCUACAUCUUCCUCGCAGACAUUACAGAGGGAAGUGUCUGAAACUCUGACGGGCUGCAGGUUACCCCGUGUGCACGUGCCCCUGCAGGCCAGAAGAACAGGACUCGAUUCCCUAGAAAUGAAGUUCAGAGAUGGUUGUGAACCACCAGAGGUUCUGGCAACUGAACCCAGGUCCUUUGCGAUAGCAGCAGGCACCCUCUACUGCUGAUCCACCACUCCAGCCCCCUCCCUUCCCCCUCGUGCCCCUCCAAGUCUAUUCUGUCCAGCCCACAUACUCAUGGGUGUGGGCCUUGAGUGGAGCAUGACUAACCUAAGGCCACACCCAUAAAGAAACUGACUCCCUCUCCCGAAGCCAGCAGCUGGCUCCCAGGCUAUGGGUGGAGACACGAUCCAUUCCUCCCUCCUCAACUAAUUACUUUUAUUAAAAAAUGAUUCUUUGGACUUCAUCUGCCCCCUUUAGCUUGAAAAGUGGAUGGAUAGUGAACACCGCUGAUUUGUGCAAUAGGAAACAGCCUCUGGCCUAUGUACUAUGGAUUCGACUGGCCAUGGCUCUUGUGACCGGCCAGACGUAGGUCCUCCAGCCCCGCCCCAGGUCCUCCAGCCCCGCCCCAGGUCCUCCAGCCCCGCCCCCUGCUUCAUAAAGCUUGCACAGGUGUCUUUGCUGAUCCACUUGGCACCUCACCUUUACCCUACCCUGAGCAGGGCCCCUCUGGGGAACAAGUUCUCUCGCUAGCCCUUCACCCAGUGCCAUAUUCGCUCUUCUGAUUCUAACAGAAAAGCUCUCUGUCCCUCCUGUGACCUGUGACCUUGCAGCCAGGAUGGCCAGCGCUCCCACACACUGCUGUUUUCGCAAGUGUGAAUUUACCACUUGCCGCCCCAGUGGCCAACCACCGUCAGUUCUCAGCGUCCGUGCCUUGAGCAAUCUGACAGGAGAAGAACAUAAAGUCUGCACAUGGCUUUAAAGUCGUUCCGACUGAGGGGGGCUGAGGCCGGCGGUGGGGUAGCCCAGUGGUAGAACAUUUGCCUAUGACCCUCAGCACUAGGACAGCUGGACAGACAAAAACUAACACGAAACCCUUCAGCUAAAAAAAAAAAAAGGAAAAGAAUUAUAACACCCGCUGUGACUGGGUGAGCCUCUGGGGAGACUUGUGUUUGAAAUUUUCCAUCCCUCCUCUUGGAACAAACCGCCGGCUUCCACCCCAGCCUGUGCCCUGGACAGCUUCCCAGUGUACAAGUGAGGCAGAAACCCACCUGCCACAUGGUGCGGUCCUAAGGACCUAGGGCACAGUGCCCUCUCCUCUCUGCAAAAAGCUCAGGAGAUUUCUUGCUGCUGUGUCCAGGGCAGUGGGGUAGUACAGAGCCAUGAAUAAGGGAUGAAUAGAUCAGCAUAGAGGAGGGACCCCAGGGACCCCAGAAGAUGUCCAAAUUGUGCAUGUCUUUAAUACCAGCACUUAUGAGACCCGAGGUAAGUCUGUGAGUUCUAGGCCAGUUUGGUCUAUUGGUCUACAUACUGAGUUCCAGCGAGGGGUACAGGGUGAGACUUUGUCUCAAAAACAAAAGAAAACAAACAAGUGAAACCCCCAAUCUUCAGAUCCUCAAAGAACUUGGAGCCUGUCCUUCAGAACUCCCCAACUUCUACUUAGCAGUUUGGGUGAGGCCUAAAUUAGGACCUAAGUAAAGGUCUAAAUAGGGGCCACCUAGGCUACCACUUCACCCUAGCCACAGGGUCCUGGGAUGGGCUGGCUUAGCUCAGCCACACCUGUGAGAGUGACUUCAGCAGGUCACUUGGCUUACAGGAAUGAAAGCAGGGCGGCAGGUCCCCAGGCCUUUGAGCUGGUGACUUCAUCUCUGUGAGAUCCUGAACUCUCAGAUCUUAGAGGCUCCCUCACCUGACCAGACGCAGAAGGCACUCCCUCCCUGGCAGCCCCUCCCCUGAGACUGUAUCCAGGAGAACUUUAAAGAGAAUAGACUUAGGGUUGUGAAUGGGUGGGGCUUGGGGAACGUGGGUGGGUCCAGACCUUCCGGUUCCCCGAAUGGAGCCCCGAAGGGUCAUCGUAAAGCAGGGAACUGGUUCCAAGUACAGCUUGUAAAACAGUGAGUGUGUGUUAGUCAUAUAAAAUAAUGGGUUUCAUUCCGACGUUACCGCGCAUGUGCAGAGUGUCCUUUAUAACCUACUGACCCAGAGAUGAUCUCAGUCCGUGCAGGCAGAACCUACUGCCAUCAUCCUCAUGUGACCUGAUUAUCUUCUCGGAGAAGGAUGUGCUUCUCUCUCCUUUUAAACACCACACAGAAGCUGCAUGUGGAAGGUGGAGGCAGGAGGAUCCAGAGUCACAGGCUAGCCUCAGCUACGUGGUGAAUAUGGAUGAAAUUUCACAAAAAGAAGCUGCUUUUUCAAAGUGAACCUUCCGCAAGGCUGACUAAUCCUCGAAGCUACGUGACAGAGAUGGAGCACUGGGAAUGCACAGAGAACCAGUUUCCCUUUGGGAAAUAGUCUCUCGCUUCCUCCUGUCUGAACCUGAAGGCAUCAUCAGUAUGUGGGGCCUAAACCAGAGUUCUCCGUUUUCCUGUGGCCAGCCUCUCCGAUGCUCCCACCCAUGUAUCUGAAAAGCACCUUGAUUUAUUUUGAUGAUUUUUUAUUUAUUUAUCUGUAAACAAACUCUGUGUCCCGUGGCCACAGUCACCCACGUUUGUCUCCAAAAUAAACGUCUCUUCUUUGAGAGGGAGAGAAAGAAA